rnacentral:lncRNA from 1 species
AUUAGCCACACAUGGCUAGGGAGCACUGCAAGUGUGGUUAGUGUGACUGAGGAAUCAUAUUUUUUUGUAUUUCAUUAAUUGAAAUUUUAAAUACCCACAUGUGAGGAGUGGCUCCCAGAUUGGAUGUCACAAAGAGGAAACUAACCUUACAUUUAGAAAAUUAUGGAACGGAGGCCAUGUCUGGAGACGGUUCGCCUUAAUCAGGCACCACAUUGCAGCAUAAAUAACCCUGGGCAUCUGAGACAAGGAAGGGAAAUUCCAACAGAAGGUGUGUCGCUGAGGGGUGUAUGAAGACAGCCUCACCAGCUCAAGUUUUUCCAGCAACAGCCGUAUUCUUUCGGCAUCUGGAAUUUGACCAGAUAGGUGUGGCUCCGAGUGCUGAUAAUCGAGGACAGCCUUCUCAGACUGCAACGUGCGUACACAUCUCCUUGGGAGCUUGGUAGCUACACAUACAGAUUCACUGGGACUGGCACGAGGCCCAAGACUCAGCAGUGCUAACAAGAUCCCAGAUGAUGCUGAGGCUGCCGGUCCAUGGACCACGCUCUGAGUAGUGAGGCUCUGCACUCAUGCUCUGGUCCGAGAGAGCUGGAGCUGAAAGGAGCUGUCAAGGUCAGGUUCUCUCCAAGCAGAGCCUGAGCCAGGAAUUCUUGUAGAAGUGCCCUCUAGAGAAAUUUGGAAGAGCGUGUAGGAUGAGACCAGGGAAGAAACUAAGCACAGGGGUGGUGCAGAAGAACGCUAACCUCAGUCUGAUCCUCAGGGCAGCUCUGGAACGCAAGUGAUACCGCGACGGUAUUCCAUCCUGAGGCGGGAGAACCAGGGUUUUGCCCCACCGUCAGUCGGUCAUUGGCCAGGGGCUGCCGCAGGGAGAAAGGCAGAACCUCCCUGUACGGCCAGGCGUUAGUGGCUCCCAUUUGGUCAAGGAGAAGUAUGCAAGUGUGAGCCAUCAGCAUCCAACACUGACAGCCCCUGGGAGUUGCAUACUUCCAUGGUAUAGGGAUCUGGCAGGCCACCAACCGUCUACUCCAAAGGCCUAAAAGUCUUCCAGGCCACCUGCCCCAUCCCUACUCAUUUUCAUAUCAGAGAUUUUACCUUUGAAAGU